UCUCCUGGAAACGGGUGGUAAUGCCGGAUGUUCCACAUGAGCGCAUGCGAGUGUGGGAAAGGCUUUUUGCGGCAUGGGAUGGGGUCGCGUCCUAUCAGCUUGUUGGUGGGGUAACGGCCUACCAAGGCGUUGACGGGUAGCCGGCCUGAGAGGGCGACCGGCCACAUUGGGACUGAGAUACGGCCCAGACUCCUACGGGAGGCAGCAGUGGGGAAUAUUGCACAAUGGGCGCAAGCCUGAUGCAGCGACGCCGCGUGCGGGAUGGAGGCCUUCGGGUUGUAAACCGCUUUUGUUCAAGGGCAAGGCACGGUUUCGGCCGUGUUGAGUGGAUUGUUCGAAUAAGCACCGGCUAACUACGUGCCAGCAGCCGCGGUAAUACGUAGGGUGCAAGCGUUAUCCGGAUUUAUUGGGCGUAAAGGGCUCGUAGGCGGUUCGUCGCGUCCGGUGUGAAAGUCCAUCGCUUAACGGUGGAUCCGCGCCGGGUACGGGCGGGCUUGAGUGCGGUAGGGGAGACUGGAAAUUCCCGGUGUAACGGUGGAAUGUGUAGAUAUCGGGAAGAACACCAA
rnacentral:rRNA from 1 species